ACUCCUACGGGAGGCAGCAGUGGGGAAUAUUGCACAAUGGGCGCAAGCCUGAUGCAGCCAUGCCGCGUGUAUGAAGAAGGCCUUCGGGUUGUAAAGUACUUUCAGCAGUGAGGAAGGUGGGUAUGUUAAUAGCAUAUUCAUUUGACGUUAGCUGCAGAAGAAGCACCGGCUAACUCCGUGCCAGCAGCCGCGGUAAUACGGAGGGGGCUAGCGUUGUUCGGAAUUACUGGGCGUAAAGCGUGCGUAGGCGGAUUGGAAAGUUAGAGGUGAAAUCCCGGGGCUCAACCCGGAACUGCCUUUAAAACUUCCAGUCUAGAGUUCUGGAGAGGUAAGUGGAAUUCCUAGUGUAGAGGUGAAAUUCGUAGAUAUUAGGAGGAACACCAGAGGCGAAGGCGGCUUACUGGACAGAUACUGACGCUGAGGCACGAAAGUGUGGGGAGCAAACAGGAUUAGAUACCCUGGUAGGAUAGCGU
rnacentral:rRNA from 1 species